CAGCAGCCGCGGUAACACGAAGGGUGCAAGCGUUAAUCGGAAUUACUGGGCGUAAAGCGUGCGUAGGCGGUGAGUUAAGUCUGCUGUGAAAUCCCCGGGCUCAACCUGGGAAUGGCAGUGGAUACUGGCUCGCUAGAGUGUGUCAGAGGAUGGUGGAAUUCCCGGUGUAGCGGUGAAAUGCGUAGAGAUCGGGAGGAACAUCAGUGGCGAAGGCGGCCAUCUGGGACAACACUGACGCUGAGGCACGAAAGCGUGGGGAGCAAACAGGAUUAGAUACCCCGGUAGUCCCUGUCUCUUAUAC
rnacentral:rRNA from 1 species